rnacentral:rRNA from 1 species
UACGAAGGGGGCUAGUGUUGUUCGGAAUUACUGGGCGUAAAGCGCACGUAGGCGGAUUGUUAAGUGAGGGGUGAAAUCCCAGGGCUCAACCCUGGAACUGCCUUUCAUACUGGCAAUCUCGAGUCCGGAAGAGGUGAGUGGAAUUCCGAGUGUAGAGGUGAAAUUCGUAGAUAUUCGGAGGAACACCAGUGGCGAAGGCGGCUCACUGGUCCGGUACUGACGCUGAGGUGCGAAAGCGUGGGGAGCAAACAGG